ACACACAUAUGUUAUAUAUCAUAUUAUAUUCUGAAAACACACACCAAGGAAAUAUAUCAUAAUAGAGAUUCUUCUAUAUCUACUGUUUUGAAAUUUGCUUUUUUCUCUUAACAUGUUAUGAGUAACUAGGGGACAAUAAGGAACUGGGAUUAAAAGCAUGGCUUCUGCUAUCUGACUACUUGGGGGUGAGUUGUGGCUUCAUAAUCAUAAGAACUUGGGUAAGUGACUUCAAUUCUCUAGGUUGCAGAUCACUUCCUGGAAUGUGAUGAUGAAAACAUUACUUGCUGCAUAGAGUUGCCGUGAGGAUUAAUGAGAAAAUAUAUGUAAUAGCACCCUGCAGAUUCAAGUAAAUAAGGAAAUUCCCAACUCUCAGUGCUUUUAAGUGUGGGAAAACCGGAGGACCACAGGACCAAUAUUCUUCUUUGAAAACUGUUUGUGGUUUGGCAUUCAAGAGUCUCACAAUUGUGCCAUAUUUCUUUAGCAUUUUCCGCGGGCUGGCUUCCUCAUGCUACGAGUCAUCUCUGAUUAUAAAAUAUAUACAUGGCAAGAGAACCAGGACAAUGACUGACUAUGUGACUAUGACCAUAAGAUACUAUGAAUAGCUCUUUCUUCCCUAAGCCUGCAUCUGGCUUCAGACCCUUCUCAGCAAGAAGCUCCAGAAAGCUACUAAUGAUUGAUCAAGAUUAAAUGCAUCUCGAAAACAAUUUUCCAUCCUUGCUUUAGAUUUCAUCAUCAUUUGAAGUUAGUUUUCCAGUUUCUUAAAGUGCUUAUUCUAGUGAUUUCACCCCUUCUGGUCAUGAUAAAUGAGGCUCUUCGUGAGCUGGUAUCCAAGGGUUUUAUUUGUUUGCUUUCCUCUGUUUUUGCUCAUACUUCUCAGUUUGAAGUUUCUCUUACAAGACUUUUAGAAUUGUUUAAAUGAGACAAAAUUUGGUAAUACUUACAGAAAAACCAGUAUAGAUGGGUUUAAACUCUAUAGUGCUAAAUUUUGCUAAU
rnacentral:lncRNA from 13 species